UGAGCAAUCUGCCCUUCUCAUCGGAAUAAGCGUUGGAAACGACGUCUAAUGCCGAAUACGACCUCCUUUCACAUGAUCGGAGGUGGAAAGCUCCGGCGAGA
rnacentral:rRNA from 1 species